GACGAACGCUGGCGGCGUGCUUAACACAUGCAAGUCGAGCGGUAAGGCCCUUUCGGGGGUACACGAGCGGCGAACGGGUGAGUAACACGUGAGUAAUCUGCCCUUCACUUCGGGAUAACUACCGGAAACGGUGGCUAAUACCGGAUAUGACCACUUCAUGCAUGUGAUGGUGGUGGAAAGUGUUUAGCGGUGGGGGAUGUGCUCGCGGCCUAUCAGCUUGUUGGUGAGGUAAUGGCUCACCAAGGCUUCGACGGGUAGCCGGCCUGAGAGGGUGACCGGCCACACUGGGACUGAGACACGGCCCAG
rnacentral:rRNA from 1 species